AAGACUCUGAAAAAUAGAGAGAAAAUAAAACCAAAAAUAUUUCUUGGCUGGAUUGAAGAGAUUCUAAGGAGUUCCAAGUGAAAUCAAAGCCAAAGAAGUGGAUUAAGCUUAGUUUUGGAAUUUUUAUGAUAUCUCCUGGUGGGUUCCAACUGGUUUAAGGUCUAGAAAAUAUAGAAGAGAUUGUUUCCCCCGAAAAGUUGCUCGGUUAAGCACAUCAACCUCUAAGAUACCACUUGUUACAUGGUGAAAUAUAUUUUGGACACAAGGUAAGUAAAGUACUCAACUGUAACACAAGAAUUUCAUGUUAUGUGAAAGUAUGCAUUAUUUGAAUAGUUUGUGAAUAAGUAGUAUUCACGUACAUUGACACUUUAUCGUAAUUUGUAUGUGUGGCAUAAUAGUGGUAUGGUAAUGUAUUGUAUGAUAUAAGAUCACGCAUGAUAUCAUGAUGAUUAAUUAUGUGAUGCCUUAUCAAGUUUUAUGCAACAUAAAAGAAAGUUGUAAUAAGAAGUUUAAGUUUAGUGCCACUGUUUUGAAAAGGUAAAUAAAAGUGUAAGUAAGUGUAAAUGGAGGCCUAUAGGCUCAUAGUGGCAGCCCAAUACUUUGGGCUAUGUUUUAGUGAACCAAUUAUAUUGUUUGCCAUGUUCUUGUUUUUAUUUUUCCUCCACAUGAGUUAUUGUUAUAUGUAUUGACACCACAAUGUGUGGCCACCUUAACUCUUGAGCUCAAUGGGGUAACGAUGGAAUAAGAUUUUUAAUGCGCCCUACUAUGGUGAUGGCUAGCCAGAUGAGAACCCAUGGUAUUUUAUAUUAUAUGUGUAACAAGCCCUGCAGGCAUUGGCAUAAUCAAACAAUGUGCACAAUAUUAAGGGCCUCAAAAUUUAAAAAGAAGUUGUGUAUGCACAUUCACAUAGAGAAUCAUUAGCAUUGUGUGCAUUACUUUGCUUACUGAGCUUUAGGCUCACAGUUGUCUUGUGUUGUGGGUAAAGAAAGAAAUGAGUAAAUGGCAAAGGAGAACUGAAGCAUGGUCCUGACCCUGAUUUGUACAUAUGACCAUAUCGACCUUAUGUGAGUUAUUUCAGUUUAUCAGUGUGUAUGUUUGUA